rnacentral:tRNA from 1 species
GGAGAGAUGGCAGAGUGGUCGAUUGCGCUAUCUUGGAAAGGUAGUGAACGUUGAUAGCGUUCCGAGGGUUCGAAUCCCUCUCUCUCCGCCA